ensembl:lncRNA
CUUCUUCCUCUUAUUUUUCCCACAACCCGGCAUAUGCAAAUCUUUUAGGCAUUAUUUUUCCCUUCAUAGGCGUGAUGUGAGCAGGCCCUGGCUUGGCAGGCAUGUUGGGACGAGGCUCUGGAAUGAUGCUGUAUUCCUCCUCGACGACGACCCACAGUAAAUGCAGAGCCACUCAUCUGCAAAGCAAAGUCAAUGUAUUGUUCUAGACACCAGUGUGGGGUAUGUGGUGGCAUUAACUGAGACAUUUCCUUUGUGAGGCCAAACGGAAAAUGUUCUUGAGAGCAGUAUCACUGAAGUCCACUUGAUUACAUGAAAACCAUAAAAUCAAUCAUAAUCACUGUAAUAAUUAUAUAUAUUGCAUGUUAUAUAUUUAUAAGAAACACGCAAGAUGUCACAUAGCUAUCUUUUAGUUAAACACACUUGAUCUCUGACCGCCUGAAGAUAUGAGAGAUACUAUAAAUCGUUUACAGGAACUUGUUGAGGCCACUCCUUAAACACGUCAGUGCUCUGUUUAAAAGCGAGAGUCGAGGAUCAACAAAGGUCAGAAAACGGUAUGAAACCUACAAUGAACCCGCCAGACACCAAAUGUGUCUUGUAACAUGCCCAGAGGACCAUUUCCAACUGCAAGAAUUGCUGUGCUGCUUGAACUGCCCAGAAGGUAUGUAUGUUGCCCGGAAUUGCUCUGGAGGACCCACAAACUACAUUGGUGUGCUAUGUAAUCCAUGCCGCAGAUGUGAAGAACUUGGAGAGAUAACUGUUUCCCAGUGCAUGCAGUUUUCAGACACACAGUGUGACAGGAAAUUGCGACGGAUAACCUUGUAUGGUUCCUCGUCUGUGAUAGCCGCUAUUUUCAUCCUGACUGUGAUUGUGGCAGCCUGCUUCUUUUGCAGAAUCCGUAAAUCAGGUGAAUCUAAUGAAAGCUCCGCAGGAGAACCAUUCCACAUUUCCAUAUAAAAGAUACAGAGACAGUCUGAAGAAAAUCUUAAACAGAGGAAAAUGUCCAGCUUUAAGAACUGUAUAUUAUCAUUCAGUGAUUCAAUAACAUUAGAAAUACUGCAAUAAACAGUUCUAAAAAGAGGACAAUAGUAAACAGUAGUAAACAAUAGUACACUAUUUAAUGUGUCUUUUGCCUUUUCAGUUUGUAAGGUAGUUGUUAAGUUUAUGUAUAAGGUAAAAUUAAGGGAUCUAAAAUGUGGACAUGGAGAGUAAGGUAAUAAUAUGUGCUUUAAGUACUAAUAAACAACAGAUAUGCAUACUAUGUAUGCUAGUAAACAACUAUUCAAUAGUGAGAAUUUGUCCUUGAUAUAUAUGUUUGUGUGUGUAGGUGUGUGCACAUCUGUUUAUAUUGAUGUUAUAUUUAGAAAUGUAUCUAUAUUCAAACAUACCUGAUGUUGCAUGAUGCUGCAUAUUGCAUAUUUUUAUUUUAUAUAAUUUGUUUUUUUUUUUAUAAAAAAAGGAAAGAAAAUAACUAUUUGGAAUUUCUAAAUUCUUAUAGUAUCUAUAGUAUCUAUAGUAUUUUUUUUAAUCAGAUAUUUGUACUUUGAAAAAUUUAUUUUAUGUUCUGCUAGCAGAAAAACAAACACAGAUACCUACAUAGCACUCUAAAUGCAAAUUUAAUUUGCACUAAUUUUAUGUUGGGAAUUGCACCUUGUAUUAAUUAUGUUGUCACAAAAUUGAUAAUGUUUCACCAGACUGUCUUAUGUUUGAUUUGAAAUUUUAACACAAGUGACUAUGAAUCUACAAUGAUUUAGACCAACAUCUUAUACAACAAUACAAAAGGAACUCUACUUGUGAGCAUUUGUUGUGAUGAAGCAUCAUGUUUCUGACUAUAGAAUCCCUUUUCUAAAUUGCCUUUUAAAUGUUGAUGACUGAAUUUGUUUACUUUACAAACAUAAAGUUUACUAUUUUAAGUCAGA